rnacentral:tRNA from 1 species
GUUUGUGGCUCAGUGGUAGAGUGUUUGCCUAGCACAUUGAGGCCCUGGGUUCCAUUCUCAGCACCACA